rnacentral:rRNA from 1 species
CCUACGGGAGGCAGCAGUGAGGAAUAUUGGUCAAUGGGCGCGAGCCUGAACCAGCCAAGUAGCGUGAAGGAUGACUGCCCUACGGGUUGUAAACUUCUUUUAUAAAGGAGUAAAGUGAGGCACGUGUGCCUUGUUGUAUGUUCUUUAUGGAUAAGGCACGGCUAAAUCCGGUCCAGGAGCCGCGGUUAUUCGGAGGAUCCGAGCGUUAAUCGGAAUUAUUUGGUUUAAAGGGAGCGGAGAGGGGUUGUUAAGGCAAGUGGUAAAGUGUGCGGGUCAAACGUAAAAUUGCCAUUGAUACUGGCAGUCUUGAGUACGGUUGAGGUAGGCGGAAUUCGUGGUGUAGCGGUGAAAUGCUUAGAUAGCACGAAGAACUCCGAUUGCGAAGGCAGCUUACUAAAGUCCCACUGACGGUGAUGCACGAAAGUGUGGGUAUCAAACAGGAUUAGAUACCCUUGUAGUC